rnacentral:lncRNA from 1 species
GCCUCUGGACCAAAGAACUCAGACCAGGAGCAGGACAAGAGGAGGUCCAGGUGCUAAAAUGCUAGUACCAACCAGGGCCCUGGGCUCAAAAGAGAAAUGCAGCUGUCCCUACCUUUAGAAGAAAAGGAGAUUAGUGGAGGGUAAGCUGUAAGACUAAUGUCACAAGCUUUUGAGCUCACAACUUCUCCAGCUAUUUUGUUUACCCCUUGACCUUUGCCCUCAUUGUUCUUCAUUGUCCCCACCCCAACCCCUCCACAGACCAGUCAUGGAGAGUGAGGGAGAGUCAGCCUGAAGGUCUUUGUGACCACAGGUGCAUCAAAUGUUUAUUUUGGCCAAAUGGGAAUGGUUGAGUGUUAAAUUCAAUAUUCAGCUGAUGCUGAAGCCAAAAAUAAUCAUCAAAGA